GAUGAACGCUGGCGGCGUGCCUAACACAUGCAAGUCGAACGGAAAGGCCCUGCUCUUGUGCGGUGCUCGAGUGGCGAACGGGUGAGUAACACGCGAGUAACCUGCCCUUGACUGUGGGAUAACAUCAGGGAAAAGGGGCUAAAAUCGGAGAGGAGAUCCUGCAGCAUGGUGGGGGAUGGAAAGAUUCGGCGGUUGGGGAUGGACUCGCGGCUUAUCAGCUAGUUGGUGGGGUAGUGGCGUACCAAGGCUUUGACGGGUAGGCGGCCUUGGAGCGUGACCGGCCUCAUUAGGCCUGAGAGACGGCGCAGUCUCCUACGGGAGGCAACAGUCGGGAGUAUUGCGCAGUGGGCGGGAGCCUGUUGCAACGGCGCCGCGUGCGGGAUGACGGCCUUCGGGUUAUGAACCGCUUUCGCCUGUGACGUAGCGUGAUUGACGGUACUUGGUCAAGAAGCACCGGCUAACUACGUG
rnacentral:rRNA from 1 species